UGGGGAAUAUUGCACAAUGGGGGAAACCCUGAUGCAGCGACGCCGCGUGAGUGAAGAAGUGUUUCGGCACGUAAAGCUCUGUCAGCAGGGAAGAAAAUGACGGUACCUGACCAAGAAGCCCCGGCUAACUACGUGCCAGCAGCCGCGGUAAUACGUAGGGGGCAAGCGUUAUCCGGAUUUACUGGGUGUAAAGGGAGCGCAGACGGCAGCGCAAGUCCGGGGUGAAAGCCCGCGGCCCAACCGCGGGACUGCCCUGGAAACUGUGCGGCUGGAGUGCCGGAGAGGUAAGCGGAAUUCCUAGUG
rnacentral:rRNA from 1 species